rnacentral:rRNA from 1 species
AACGAACGCUGGCGGCAGGCUUAACACAUGCAAGUCGAACGCAUCCUUCGGGGUGAGUGGCAGACGGGUGAGUAACGCGUGGGAACGUGCCCUUCAGUUCGGGAUAACCCAGGGAAACUUGGGCUAAUACCGGAUACGUGCGAGAGCAGAAAGAUUUAUCGCUGAAGGAUCGGCCCGCGUCUGAUUGGCUAGUUGGUGGGGUAAUGGCCCACCAAGGCGACGAUCAGUAGCUGGUCUGAGAGGAUGAUCAGCCACAUUGGGACUGAGACACGGCCCAAACUCCUACGGGAGGCAGCAGUGGGGAAUAUUGGACAAUGGGCGCAAGCCUAAUCCAGCCAUGCCGCGUGAGUGAUGAAGGCCUUAGGGUUGUAAAGCUCUUUCGUCCGGGACGAUAAUGACGGUACCGGAAGAAGAAGCCCCGGCUAACUUCGUGCCAGCAGCCGCGGUAA